rnacentral:rRNA from 1 species
GACGAACGCUGGCGGCGUGCUUAACACAUGCAAGUCGAACGGAAAGGCCCUGCUUUUGUGGGGUGCUCGAGUGGCGAACGGGUGAGUAACACGUGAGUAACCUGCCCUUGACUUUGGGAUAACUUCAGGAAACUGGGGCUAAUACCGGAUAGGAGCUCCUGCUGCAUGGUGGGGGUUGGAAAGUUUCGGCGGUUGGGGAUGGACUCGCGGCUUAUCAGCUUGUUGGUGGGGUAGUGGCUUACCAAGGCUUCGACGGGUAGCCGGCCUGAGAGGGUGACCGGCCACAUUGGGACUGAGAUACGGCCCAGACUCCUACGGGAGGCAGCAGUGGGGAAUGUUGCACAAUGGGCGGAAGCCUGAUGCAGCAACGCCGCGUGCGGGAUGACGGCCUUCGGGUUGUAAACCGCUUUCGCCUGUGACGAAGCGUGAGUGACGGUAAUGGGUAAAGAAGCACCGGCUAACUACGU